rnacentral:rRNA from 1 species
UGGGGAAUAUUGGACAAUGGGGGAAACCCUGAUCCAGCCAUGCCGCGUGAGUGAAGAAGGCCUUCGGGUUGUAAAGCUCUUUCGACGGGGAAGAUGAUGACGGUACCCGUAUAAGAAGCCCCGGCUAACUUCGUGCCAGCAGCCGCGGUAAUACGAAGGGGGCUAGCGUUGUUCGGAAUUACUGGGCGUAAAGCGCGCGUAGGCGGUGAUCUUUGUCAGAGGUGAAAGCCCGGGGCUCAACUCCGGAAUUGCCUUUGAAACGGGAUCGCUUGAGUCCGAGAGAGGAUGGCGGAAUUCCUAGUGUAGAGGUGAAAUUCGUAGAUAUUAGGAAGAACACCGGUGGCGAAGGCGGCCAUCUGGCUCGGUACUGACGCUCAGGCGCGAAAGCGUGGGGAGCAAACAG